GCCCCCGUAGCUCAGUGGAUAGAGCACUGGUCUCCGAAGCCAGGUGCGUGAGUUCGAUUCUCACCGGGGGCGCCA
rnacentral:tRNA from 1 species